rnacentral:rRNA from 1 species
AUGACCCCAGGUCAGGCGGGACCACCCGCUGAGUUUAAGCAUAUCAAUAAGCGGAGGAAAAG